rnacentral:rRNA from 1 species
UUGAAAGGGAAACGAUUGAAGUCAGUCGUACCAGCGGGAAAUCAACCUUUCGAGUGGGGUUUUGGAGUUUUGAAGAGUGUCAAAACCUUUGAGAUUUCAAAAUUUUCGCUCCUUUGGUGUACUUUCUCGUGGGUAGGUUAACAUCGAUUUCGAUCAUCAUAAAAGGAUUGGAGGAAUGUAGCUUCGAUCUUGUAUUGAAGUGUUAUAGCCUUUGGUAAAUGUGAUGAUUGGGAUCGAGGAUUGCAACGAAUACCCUUUUGGGCUAUCCGCCUGAUCUCUGAUACGUGGCCUUGGCAUCGAAAGCCUGCUUAUGGUAUCAAGGUAUUACGGUCAAAAGGUUAGAACGGAUUACAUUCGUUAAGGAUGUUGACGUA